rnacentral:rRNA from 1 species
AGUGAACGCUGGCGGCAGGCCUAACACAUGCAAGUCGAGCGGCAGCGCGGGGGCAACCCUGGCGGCGAGCGGCGGACGGGUGAGGAAUUCGUCGGAAUCUGCCUUUUGUGGGGGAUAACGUAGGGAAACUUACGCUAAUACCGCAUACGUCCUACGGGAGAAAGUGGGGGACCGCAAGGCCUCACGCAGAAAGAUGAGCCGACGACCGAUUAGCUAGUUGGUGGGGUAAAGGCCCACCAAGGCGACGAUCGGUAGCUGGUCUGAGAGGAUGAUCAGCCACACUGGGACUGAGACACGGCCCAGACUCCUACGGGAGGCAGCAGUGGGGAAUAUUGGACAAUGGGCGCAAGCCUGAUCCAGCCAUGCCGCGUGUGUGAAGAAGGCCUUCGGGUUGUAAAGCACUUUUGUCCGGAAAGAAAUCCCUGGAGCUAAUACCUUCGGGGGAUGACGGUACCGGAAGAAUAAGCACCGGCUAACUUCGUG